rnacentral:rRNA from 1 species
AUGUCGGCGAGGUUGGUCAUACUGGGCGGCGGUGUUCAGUUGUCGGCGUAUGAGGCUCUAGAGCCCGGCGUCUCAGGUGAUAGUGGGGGAUAUCAGGUUGGGAGGUGGCGUGCCUCAGGGAGUCCGCUCUUGGCUGGAUCUGGAGGGCCAGAUUGGCUUCCUCGGUGGCAGAACGUUGCAUCGUUAUCCUCUUGGGGUAACGUGGAGCUCAGGUCAGCGCUCCACGACUCAAAUCGAGAGGGCGCAGUGGCACUCUCGGGUGGCUGCUUGGUUGUGCGCGGCGCGUAA